UCAAUAAGAACUCCCCAACGGUGGCCUAUGGGAAGCCCGAUGAUGUAGAGUCCCUUUCUACAAUGUUGCAGAUGAAAGUGGGCUUCAAGUCUGUGCCUGCAUAUUCCUACAACUUCUCAGAGUCGUGUGGACUAUGACUGACUGAGGAGUCAAGUCAUGUAGGAAACAGUC